GCCGGCGUAGCUCAGCGGCAGAGCGGCUGAUUUGUAAUCAGCGGGUCGCAGGUUCAAGUCCUGUCGCCGGCUCCA
rnacentral:tRNA from 1 species